rnacentral:lncRNA from 1 species
GAUCAGUCUGACCUGUGGUAUUCAUUGAGGACAGAAGUGUUUUCAGAGACAGAGUAAUUACAACUUAAACAGGUUACUGGAGAUCCAAAGAGGAAGAUGGAGAAUUCUGUGGCAACUUACAACAGCGGAGAUACGUGUAAGGCUGAGGAGGAGAAACAAAAGUCUCCAUUGUCUGAGAAGAUGAAGAACCUGGAAGAGGAGAACCAGAUACUGAUGAUGGUGAAUAAAGAACUGGCAGAAAAAGAGGUCAGCCAUUCACUAAAGGCUCAGAUGAAUACAGACUGGGUGAAGAAUAUGUGCUCUGAGCUGGAGAAGAAAGAGCAGAAGAUCAGUUCUUUAACGGCAGCUUUCCAACAAGCCAACGCUGAAGUGGAGCGCCUGGAGAGUGAACGCUGUGACUUCAACAGCAUGAAGAUGAGGAUGACCACUGAGCUGGAGAAAAAGAACGAGGACUUGGUCGUGUUAAAGAAAGCGCACCAUAAGGUGAACACUGACUGGCAGCACAUGGAGCAGGAAUUGUGUCUGAAGGAGCGCGACCAUAAGGACACUGUGGCUCAGAUGGAAGCAAAAUGGGAGACGAUGAAGGAGACCCUGAUCACGUCCCAUGAGACCAUGCUGAGCAACGUCUGCUCACAGUUACAGGCUCUACACAAAGAUGUGGAGCUCCAUGAGAGGAACGCUGCUGAGGCUACUAAACAGCUCCAGGAAAAGGAUGCUACCAUCCACGCCAUGGAGACCAUGUUUGUAGAUCUGCAGAAGAAACAUCUCACUCUGACUACGGUUAAGGAGAACCAGCAAUUGCAAAUUGAUCUUCUGGUGGAGGAGGGCGUUGAACUGAAGGAGCUCGCCCGCAUGACGGACAAACAGAAGGCCAGGAGAAAGAAAGAGCAGGACAAAGCAGAGAAGAAGAGCAAGAAGAAGGAAGGAAAACUAGGUUCCCUGAGAAACUUCAUUUGCUGUUUUGCUUGCUGCAAAGAGUGUCAUGAUAUGGUGGCUGCUCCCUCCUGUGUCCUCUGUUUUCCCCUCCGUCUUGCUCCUGUCUGUCCUUGUUGGUGUGGAGUGGGGAGGAGUCGGCACUGCUGCUGGAGCUCGUUACUCACCUGCAGCUCAUCACCACCAACAUGCUCCAGUAUAUAACGUGGUCUGAUCGUCAGUUAUCCUACGUGGUACCUUUGUUUUUUGGCUCAGUUCCUAGUGUUUGUACUUUCUGGCUCCUGAAGUUUCAGCCUUGGGUUUCACC